AUACGUAGGGGGCGAGCGUUGUCCGGAAUGAUUGGGCGUAAGGGCGCGUAGGCGGCGCGGUAAGUCUGGAGUGAAAGUCCUGCUUUCAAGGUGGGAAUUGCUUUGGAUACUGCCGCGCUUGAGUGCAGGAGAGGUUAUCGGAAUUCCCGGUGUAGCGGUGAAAUGCGUAGAGAUUGGGAGGAACACCAGUGGCGAAGGCGACUUACUGGACUGUAACUGACGCUGAGGCGCGAAAGUGUGGGGAGCAAACAGGAUUAGAUACCCUGGUAGUCCACACUGUAAACGAUGAAUGCUAGGUGUAGGGGGUAUCGACCCCUUCUGUGCCGCAGUCAACACAAUAAGCAUUCCGCCUGGGGAGUACGGCCGCAAGGUUGAAACUCAAAUGAAUUGGCGGGG
rnacentral:rRNA from 1 species